GGAUAUAGCUCAAUUGGUAGAGUGCUUAUUUCUCAUGCAUGAGGCCCUGGGUUCAAUCCCCAGCACUCCA
rnacentral:tRNA from 1 species